CCUACGGGAGGCAGCAGUGAGGAAUAUUGGUCAAUGGCCGAGAGGCUGAACCAGCCAAGUCGCGUGAGGGAAGACGGCUCUACGGGUUGUAAACCUCUUUUGUCGGGGAGCAAAUCGAGUUACGUGUGACUCAUUGAGAGUAUCCGAAGAAAAAGCAUCGGCUAACUCCGUGCCAGCAGCCGCGGUAAUACGGAGGAUGCGAGCGUUAUCCGGCUUUAUUGGGUUUAAAGGGUGCGAAGGCGGAGGUGCAAGUCAGCGGUAAAAUUGCGGGGGUAAACUCCGUACUGCCGUUGAAACUGCAUGCCUAGAGUGCAGGAGAGGUAUGCGGAAUGCGUGGUGUAGCGGUGAAAUGCAUAGAUAUCACGCAGAACACCGAUUGCGAAGGCAGCAUACCGGAGCGCAACUGACGCUCAUGCACGAAAGCGUGGGUAUCGAACAGGAUUAGAUACCCGAGUAGUC
rnacentral:rRNA from 1 species